rnacentral:rRNA from 1 species
AACGAACGCUGGCGGCAUGCCUAACACAUGCAAGUCGAACGAGACCUUCGGGUCUAGUGGCGCACGGGUGCGUAACGCGUGGGAACCUGCCCUUAGGUUCGGAAUAACUCCCCGAAAGGGGUGCUAAUACCGGAUAAUGUCUUCGGACCAAAGAUUUAUCGCCUUUCGAUGGGCCCGCGUUGGAUUAGCUAGUUGGUAGGGUAAAAGCCUACCAAGGCGACGAUCCAUAGCUGGUCUGAGAGGAUGAUCAGCCACACUGGGACUGAGACACGGCCCAGACUCCUACCGGGAGGAGGAAGUGGGAAAAAUUGAACAUUGGCGAAAAGCUUAUCCAAGCAAUCCGGGGUGAUGAAUGAAGCCCUAGGGGUUGAAAGCUCUUUUACCCGGGAUGAUAAUGACAGUACCGGGAGAAUAAGCUCCGGCUAACUCCGUG